rnacentral:rRNA from 1 species
UGGGGAAUAUUGCACAAUGGGGGAAACCCUGAUGCAGCGACGCCGCGUGAGCGAUGAAGGCUUUCGAGUCGUAAAGCUCUGUCCUAUGGGAAGAUAAUGACGGUACCAUAGAAGAAAGCCCCGGCUAAUUACGUGCCAGCAGCCGCGGUAAUACGUAAGGGGCGAGCGUUGUCCGGAAUUAUUGGGCGUAAAGAGUGCGUAGGCGGCAAAUUAAGUCAGAUGUGAAAACUAAGGGCUCAACCCAUAGAUUGCAUCUGAAACUGAUAUGCUUGAGUCAAGGAGAGGAAAGUGGAAUUCCUAGUGUAGCGGUGGAAUGCAUAGAUAGUAGGAGGAAUACCGGUGGCGAAGGCGACUUUCUGGACUUGAACUGACGCUGAGGCACGAAAGCGUGGGGAGCAAACAGG